CAUCUGGCCGUGGAACACCCGCUGCAGGCCUGGAGGAACACAAGAAGACUCUCGUGAACUUUGGAUUCAAGAAACUGAAUCCUAACAAUCACCACCUCCAGCUGCCAGCAGAGGGCGCAGCUGCAUCACUUUUUACAGUGUUCUCUCCCCCUAAAUCCCAUCACAGUGAAUGCCAGAUGGGCACGAAGCGCACGCAUGCCAGGCAGCCAGGUGGUGAGAGAGACAGACGGGCGUGCACGCCGGGCGAGCGUGCACAGGUGAGUGUCUGCACAGCCGCUGUCGGCCCGUUUGGUGCUGAUGGUCUCAGAGGACGGAGUUAAAAUGACAUGAAGUGCCAGAGAGAAGAAGAGGACAGACUUGUGAAAGAAAGGUUUCAUCUUUGUGAAGGACGGAUGUGAGGUUUAGAAGAGUCACAGAAAGCUUGAAUCCACACAUGAACACACUGACAGAAGCCUGAAGAUGAACUGAAACAUGCAGACCAGUUCUUGGACUAUCACAUUUCUUUUCAAGAACCACAUAUAUUUUAUUUUUAAUUUAUUAUUUUUUUUUAACAAAAAUUGGCUCAUGUAUUCAUUCUUUUCCCACUAAAACCACUAGAGGGCGCUGUAGGCGUGUAUGUCAGCAUUUGCAAUUGACGGCAACGGAGAAGAAGAAGAAAAACAAACGUGGAGGAGUAUCUGAUUCUCUUCUUGGACUGGAAAUAUUUCAGAUUUUCAUCUAGACUAUUUUUGUUUUUCCUCCUUGGACUAAUGCGACACAGCAAGUAAUCAAACUGGGUCACAGAGACACAGAAGUACCGCUGAAGGAGAAGUCAUUCCGAUGCAGCUCUUGCAGUAGAAGACUCCUCCCACCUGGUUCCUGCACGACGAUCUUCAUCUCAGCUUCAAAUAAAUCUUUUUUUUUUUUAACCUGUCCUCCCGCUCUGCCCCGGUGGGUGCAGCAUGAGCCCCGACACGCCCGCCUUCCCAUACAUCACCGCCUGGCACAAAUGCCGUUGCCACGGGCAACGAGAAAUUAGAGAAGAGAGCGGCAACCUGCCAGCUGAAUACCUGAAAGUGUGCAGCCUGAGGAGAGACGAAGGAGGCGGCGGGGGGGGAUAAAUGACACAGGAGAGGAGUUUACUGAAAGGAGUAAAGGAAGCAAAAGCUGGGCACAUUGUCCGCUGCUCAGCUGGAUUCUUUCAUCAAAUCGGGUUGGGAGGAACCACACUAGCUCAGCCUGAGGAAAGGCCUGCAGCCCUACGAGUAAACAAAACAUCCACACACUGUCUGUGAAACUUUAGUGAGCAAGCCCCGCCCACAUUACCUGCCAUUUCUUCCCUUCAGAGAUUUUGCUUCUUACCACACAUUUUUUCUAAUCAUGGAGAACAGAACAAGAAUGAUCUGCAGCUGAUGAGAUCUUCAUACAUAAUUAAGCAGCAGAAGUAUUACAGGAGCAUUCUGGGACAUCCAGAUCUGCUGUUUCCUUUCAGAUUUUUAAUCAAUUUUAUCUACAAAUUGAUUAAUUGAACAUUUUUCUUUCAAUAUCCUCAUAUUUUUAACAUUUUUCUAAUUCAAGUUACUUUCUUAUGCUGAAUAUGUUAAAUUAUGUUAUGUCAAAGUUUCUUGGCUAUUUGAUUGUUUUACUGCGUUUUUUGACGAUAAAUAUGAAAUAAA